rnacentral:rRNA from 1 species
AUUGAACGCUGGCGGCAUGCCUUACACAUGCAAGUCGAACGGUAACAGGUCUUCGGAUGCUGACGAGUGGCGAACGGGUGAGUAAUACAUCGGAACGUGCCCGAGAGUGGGGGAUAACGAGGCGAAAGCUUUGCUAAUACCGCAUACGAUCUCAGGAUGAAAGCAGGGGACCGCAAGGCCUUGCGCUCACGGAGCGGCCGAUGGCAGAUUAGGUAGUUGGUGGGAUAAAAGCUUACCAAGCCGACGAUCUGUAGCUGGUCUGAGAGGACGACCAGCCACACUGGGACUGGGACACGGCCCAGACUCCUACGGGAGGCAGCAGUGGGGAAUUUUGGACAAUGGGCGCAAGCCUGAGCCAGCCAUGCCGCGUGCAGGAUGAAGGCCUUCGGGUUGUAAACUGCUUUUGUACGGAACGAAAAGACUCUGGUUAAUACCUGGGGUCCAUGACGGUACCGUAAGAAUAAGCACCGGCUAACUACGUGCCAGCAGCCGCAGUAACAC